UCGCCUGUUUAACAAAAACAUGUUCUUUUGUUUUUAUAAAAGAUUUAACCUGCUCUAUGAUAAAUUUAAAUGGCUGCAGUAUUUUGACUGUACAAAGGUAGCAUAAUCAUUUGUCUUUUAAUUGAAGGCUAGUAUGAAUGGUUGGACGAAAAAUAUACUUUCUUUAUUUUAUAUAAAUAAAUUAAUUUUUUAGUUAAAAAGCUAAGAUUUUUUUAUAGGACGAGAAGACCCUAUAGAACUUUAUUUUCUACAUAUAUAUAUUUUAUAGAUUUUUAAAAUAUUAUAUAUUAAUAGUUAAUUUAAUUGGGGUGAUUGAAAAAAUUAUAUAACUUUUUCUAUUUCUAUCAUUUAUUUAUGAUGUUUUUGAUCCUUUAAUAUGGAAAAUAAGAUUAAGUUACCUUAGGGAUAACAGCGUUAUUUUUUUG
rnacentral:rRNA from 1 species